UGCAGUCGGGCGGUAACAGGGGAAGCUUGCUUCCUGCUGACGAGCGGCGGACGGGUGAGUAAUGCAUAGGAAUCUGCCUGGUAGUGGGGGAUAGCCCAGAGAAAUUUGGAUUAAUACCGCAUACGCCCUACGGGGGAAAGCCGGGGACCUUCGGGCCUGGCGCUAUCAGAUGAGCCUAUGUCGGAUUAGCUAGUUGGUGAGGUAACGGCUCACCAAGGCGACGAUCCGUAGCUGGUCUGAGAGGAUGAUCAGCCACACUGGGACUGAGACACGGCCCAGACUCCUACGGGAGGCAGCAGUGGGGAAUAUUGGACAAUGGGCGCAAGCCUGAUCCAGCCAUGCCGCGUGUGUGAAGAAGGCCUUCGGGUUGUAAAGCACUUUCAGCGAGGAGGAAAGGGGUGAUGCUAAUAUCAUCGCUCUGUGACGUUACUCGCAGAANAAGCNCCGGCUAACUCCGUGCCAGCAGCCGCGGUAAUACGGAGGGUGCGAGCGUUAAUCGGAAUUACUGGGCGUAAAGCGUGCGUANGCGGCCUUUUAAGUUGGNUGUGAAAGCCCCGGGCUUAACCUGGGNACGGCAUCCAAAACUGAGAGGCUCGAGUG
rnacentral:rRNA from 1 species